UUGACCUCGGAUCAGGUAGGACUACCCGCUGAACUUAAGCAUAUCAAUAAGCGGAGGAAAAGAAACCAACAGGGAUUGCCCCAGUAACGGCGAGUGAAGCGGCAACAGCUCAGAUUUGGAAUCUGGCCCCCAGGGCCCGAGUUGUAAUCUGGAGAGGAUGCUUCUGGCGCGGCGCCUUCCGAGUUCCCUGGAACGGGACGCCGGAGAGGGUGAGAGCCCCGUACGGUCGGACGCCCAGCCUGUGUGAAGCUCCUUCGACGAGUCGAGUAGUUUGGGAAUGCUGCUCAAAAUGGGAGGUAAAUUUCUUCUAAAGCUAAAUAUUGGCCAGAGACCGAUAGCGCACAAGUAGAGUGAUCGAAAGAUGAAAAGCACUUUGAAAAGAGGGUCAAACAGUACGUGAAAUUGUUGAAAGGGAAGCGCCCGUGGCCAGACUUGCGCCCGGCGGUACCACCCGGCGCCACAGCGCCGGGGCAUUCCGCCGGGCGCAGGCCAGCAUCGGUUUUCCCAGGGGGACAAAGGUGGCGGGAACGUAGCUCCUCCGGGAGUGUUAUAGCCCGCCGCGCCAUGCCCCUGGGGGGACCGAGGACCGCGCCUUGUGCAAGGAUGCUGGCGUAAUGGCCACCGGCGACCCGUCU
rnacentral:rRNA from 1 species